UACGGAGGGUGCAAGCGUUAUCCGGAUUCACUGGGUUUAAAGGGUGCGUAGGCGGGCAGGUAAGUCAGUGGUGAAAUCUUUGGGCUUAACCCGAAAACUGCCAUUGAUACUAUCUGUCUUGAAUAUUGUGGAGGUGAGCGGAAUAUGUCAUGUAGCGGUGAAAUGCUUAGAUAUGACAUAGAACACCCAUUGCGAAGGCAGCUCACUACGCAUAUAUUGACGCUGAUGCACGAAAGCGUGGGGAUCAAACAGGAAUUAGAUACCCCGAG
rnacentral:rRNA from 1 species